rnacentral:lncRNA from 1 species
GAGGAUCCGGAUCCCGCUGCCGGUCAGCUCGCACCGAGCCCUGCCCUAGCCCCGCCGGCGCCCCCCGGAGCCCCCCCCCCCCGAUCCUUGUCCCGCACUCACCUCGCCGGUGCGGCCGUGGGAAGCGGUGGCGGAGGCCGUCGGAGGGAGGCGGCGGGGGCGGGGGGCGCGCACCGCUGGGUUCUGCGCCGCGCCCGCCGCUGCCCCGCACAAAUCGGGACCUCCCGACAGCUGAUCGUGACGUCACAAAGCGGCCCGCCCGCCCCCGCCCAACGGCCAAUGGGAGGCGGGGCCGAGCCAAGCCCCGCCCACCCCGGGGGGGUCCCGGUACCGGGGGGGUCGGCACCGGGCAUGGACGGGGCGGCUCCGGAGCCUGAGCCCCGCCUGGGUCGGCUGUGGGCAGAGCUCCCCCGGGCCGAGCCGGGCGUUUCCAGCCCGGUGCCCCCGGUGCAGCUCGAGGGGUCCCCGGGGGUCUCGUCCGUGCCCGAGGAGGAGCCUCCCCGGGGCUCACCGGAGGGUACGGCCCCCGCCGGCCGCAGCCGGGUGUAGGAAUCCCCCUUUAACGGGAGUGGGUGUGAAGGAGCGCAGCGGGGCAAAUCCCGCCGGGCUUGAGCUUACCCCAGGACAAACCCUCCCGUCCCGUCCCGUCCCGUCCCGUCCCCCCGAUGUGACCCCGGGUGAGCCGCCCCUGCCCGUCCCCACCGGGCCCGGAGGUGUUUCCCAGCCCCGCUGCCCGGCUCCGCUCUGCAUCGUGCUGCACCGAAACCCGGUGCGGCAGCCGGGAGCUACGAGGCACGGAUCCCCCCCCCCCGGUAGCGGGGUGACCGGGCUGUGCCCCUCUGGUGGCAGCGCCCAGCGAGGUGCCCGCAGGUCUCCUGCCGGCGGGGAGCGGCCACGUGGCGGCACGGGACCGGGGCUGCUGAGCUCUGUGUAACCGCUGGCACCCCGUGCAUUCGGGUGACUGCUGAAAAUAGGAUGAUGAGCACGUUGGUUUCUGCUUCACCGGAGGGGUUUUGAGAAGCAGCUCCAAAAGCUGCCGGCAA